UACGAAGGGGGCUAGCGUUGUUCGGAAUUAUUGGGCGUAAAGCGCGUGUAGGCGGCUUUGCAAGUCGGGUGUGAAGCCCUCAGCUCAACUGAGGAAGUGCGCCCGAAACUGCAGAGCUUGAGUACCGGAGAGGAUGGUGGAAUUCCCCAAGUGAGAGGUGAAAUUCGUAGAUAUGGGAGGAACACCGGUGGCGAAGGCGACCAUCUGGACGGAUACUGACGCUGAGACGCGAAAGCGUGGGUAGCAAACAGG
rnacentral:rRNA from 1 species